GCUUACGGCCAUACCUGCCUGGGUACGCCUGAUCUUGUAUGAUUUCGGAAGCUAUGCAGGACCGGGCCUGGUUAGUACGUGGAUGGGAGACCGCCUGGGAAUACCAGGUGCUCUAAGCA
ensembl:rRNA 5S_rRNA 5S ribosomal RNA